UUUAUGAUCCAUUUUUGGUCUGU
rnacentral:snRNA from 1 species